CCUCACCCUUAGCUUGGAGGCUUUACAGUGCCUUGGCAGAUACACACUGGCCUUGGGGUUAAGCUUGUAGAAAGCCCAUGUCAACAGAGGGAAACACUGUGACCACCUGUGUACUUUGGCUGCAAUAGUGUGUACACAACAAGUGCAUACAAAGGCCUGGGAAAAGCACAGGAAAGCAAAAGUUGAGUGGUUUCAACUUGAUUACAUGCUUGAGGCACAGCACUCACUUAAGAUGUGUUUCCAGAGCUCAAGGGCCCUAAGCCAUCAAGAGGCCCCCAUUACUGGGACAAUGUGCAUUCUAUGCUAUUGGUAAAACAGGUAUCUGCAAAACUAUCUGAAGGAUGAAGACAUGUCCUGGCAAAAUUACUUUGUGGAAGCUUCAAAGUCAGCUAUCAUUUGUGGAAAAUCCAGGCAACUCCUUCUCAUGGUGAUAAUAGGUGCACAAGAUUUCUCGGGGCCUAGACACUGGUAUACCACCACGUCUGCCUUAUUUUAGCCUCCAGUUAGUCGUGUGUCUAGUCCUGUAUGAGAUUAUAAGUACACCACAGAGACAUGGGGGCAUGGAAGAAUUGACAUCAAUACAAUCUACUAGAAUGGUAAGUUUGGAAACAGAACUAUAAGUGGUGAUGACAUUUACACUUAAUGGCAUCUAAGUUUUUGGUAAUGGGAGAAGACUAUGAAAUUUAAUUUUUAUUUGGACACAAGGAAAGUCACACAGACACACAAAAAAAGAUCUCUCUUUGAAUGUUUACAGGGGACAAUGGCUUACCUUAAUUAAAGGAAAUCUAAAAGGGAUCUGUGGUAAAUUAAAACCACUAUGUAAGUCUAAAUUAGAAAGCCAUUUAAUAUUAAGGUAAUGUGCUGGUUAUCCUUCCAUUGUAGAUCCAUUUUCCACCUUCUCAUCUCUAUACUGCAGGCAACUGUUCUGCCUGGAUUGUUCUCCAUUGGUCACCAGGUUCUAUUUGGAUUCAGCCAAUAAUGAAGCACUAGGAGUAAGGUCUGGGGUUUAUUCUCCAGGUUUCUUCCCUGAAGAUUGAGUCUUGCUACACUAGGCCAUAGCACCUGUAAGGCAGCCCUCUGCAUAUGUUGCCACUUUAGGUUCUGGUAGUUUCUUCUUCCUCUUGCCUUUUCAGGAUUAGGGGUAGUAAGGCUUUCCAUUUCCACUAGCCUUAAUGCCUUAAUGUCCUAUAUUCCAUUUAAUUGGUUUCCUAACACACUGCUCACACUUGGUAUAAUUUUUCUAAACGUGCCUCAGUAGUCCAAUUUGAGUGUGUCACCUGCUUCCUGUUAGGACUCUGAUUAAUCUAGUUAAGGAUUUGGGACCUCAUUUAGUAAGCAAUGAGAAACAAAGCAUUAGGAGAGGUCUAUAAAUGGAACUGUGUUGUGGGAAGGUUAAUAUGAAAGCCACAAAGAGAGAGCAUUAUAGAAGGCAGCAGAGCACACAGGAGACUCACAACUGUCCAGAUGAUAGGGCAUGAGGGCCAACACCAGAGGUAGUGCUGUGGGCAUGGAAAGGAAGAAUGGGUGCAAAAGCAACUGUGGGAACAGAAUGGAUCAGUAUCACAGCAUUUGGUAGCAGUUAGAUGGUCAGGAUGAAAGAGCAUGAUAUUUCCAAAAUUUUCAGCCUUGAGAGCUAGGAGAUGAGUAAUACCAUUAAGAACAACCAGGGAUCAAACCAGGGAUCACAAAAGGAUACAAUGUUCUGUUUUUGACAUUUGGAAUUUUCCAUGUGAUGUUCAGUGUCCUAUAUAUAAUUGGAAAUGUUGAACUUGGGAGAUAGAUCAGGCCUGGGAAUAAUUUGGAGGUUGUCCACAGAGAUUCAACAGUAAUCAGUUUGAGGUGCAGGGAAAGAAGCAGAUACAAAGAAGGGAGAAACAAAAUACAUGGUCUAAGCUUGGUUUGGAAAUACAGUUUCUGAGACUAGGAGGAGGAAGGGAGGAGAGUGGCAGAUAAACAAACUGAAACAAAAGAGUCUGUGUAUUUCAACCCUUUAGUAAACUUUUUUUGAGAAACUAAAUUUUUGUGGAUUAGGAAGUUUGUUACUUUGUUUUUGUUUUAUUUUGAGGGCCAAGCCUCCUAGCGUGGGUUUUGGUUUCUCUCAUGAAGAUCUUGGGCCUGGGGUGCCACUUAUUUUUAAAAAGUGCAAACAUUUCUUAUUUUGCUUUUAGACCUUUAUCAUUUGAUCCCUUACAAAUGUAAGAUCUUUUGAUUAAGUGUUCUAUUUUGUUUUUAAAAUACUUUCACACUCAAGGACAAAUAAGCUACAGGAACAAAAAGUGUAUUAGCAAUCCAUGUCCAUGCAAUUCAUAAUACCUUCUGAGUAUCGUUGCUAUUAAUCUUGCUUUCUUGCCUAUAUCCUUUAUGGACUUUAUGUUAAUCAAUGAUUAUAUUCCCAUAUAAAAGAAAUCUAGGUCAAUGGAACUUUAUGUUUAUCAGAGGAAUAGUCGUUUGAACAUCAGUUCUUUAGAGAAUUCACUUGCGUAGUGAAUUAAGCCUUCUAAUUCAUUCAUUUUGAAUACUUCCCUAUCUAUAGACAUUUUUAGAAUUGGAUUUUCUUAAAUUAAGGCACACACUUUUUAUUGGACUUUUAACUCACCUGAGACAGCGUAGAGGCAGCAGUUUGAAAAGCACCUGUAGCUUAUGUGAGGGAGAUUGUUGACUAAUAUUAUGACAGGUGCUAUAGGCUGGGAUUUCCCUGGGAACACAAGAGAUGGCAGGAACCCUUUCUUUUCUUUCUUUCUUCCAGACUAGAGAGCCAGAAAUUUGAAGUUUGCAAGAGCCAGUGUUAAUGCUAUCUUACUAGCAUCACAGCACUGUCCUUAUUCCCCUGUGAACCAUCCCCAUGGAACCUGCCCACCUUGGCAGGCAUCUAUCCAAAGCAGCUUUUGCUAAGACACACCAGGCAAGCAGCUCCCUUGCUCCAUCAGUCAGACUGAUGCCAUUCUAAGUGACUCCUGUCCAGGCAAUGGGGGAAGACAUAGCCACACAUCAGCACCCCUACAGUUCCUACAGCCAAACCUCUUAGCUGGCUGUGCAGGGAGCUGGUCUGGCCCUUCAGUGUGCCUGCAGAGACAGUUAUGCUGACUGCUGCCUCUCUACCUAAUGAGCCUAUGGAUGCUUCAGAUAGGCCUCUCAAUAGGGCAAGGAGCAACUUCUGCCCAAGGUGCCCAUAGUAGGUAAAGCAGGUGACUGUAACCAACUAAGUUGAAGGCAACUGCAGCUCAGUCACAUAGGAGGGCACACCUGAAGCACCUGGUUCUGAUGACCAGGGGGUAUUGUGCUACAGGGCCCCAAAGGACUUCUUGUGUAUGAGGCCCAUUUUCAAGACCAAAAGAUAUAGGUGACCUACCUAGUACAUAGAAACAACACAGAGAGACCAAUGGAGGAGACAGAGAAUAAUUCCCAAAUGAAAGAACAAGACAAAAUAAAAAAGAGCUAAGUGAAAUGGAGAUAGGCA
ensembl:lncRNA